rnacentral:tRNA from 1 species
GCCGGGGUAGCUCAGCUGGUUAGAGCGCCAGACUCAUAAUCUGGAGAUGAGAUUAUCCAGAAGUCGAGGGUUCAAAGCCCUCCCCCGGCA